CUCAAAUAUGAAACAUUAAACUUUGACAUGCAGUCAAUACUUGUCAAUACUGUUGCUGUGCAACAGACAUGUUUUUAACAAGAACACACUUUCAAAGAAAAUGACUUCUAGCUUGAAGACAGCGAAGACAGAUCCGUGCUUACCGCCACCUCUGGUGAAAGCUACCGCAUGCCACUGUCCACAGGCAUCCAGUCUUCAGGAUGCUCCUUCUACAGCUUCCACAAAAGCUCUAUCUGGAAAAAGAAUGACACUCGUAGAGCAGCUUAAAGUACAGAAGAACACUUCUGGGAAUGCUCAGGUGGAGCACCUCCACAAGCUCCGGGCUCCUACUCCACCCACUGUCCCCAGAAGAGGACGAAGGCUGCUGCCAGCCCAGCAGGAGAGUCUAGAGAGUAUAGCGGCUCAUCAGCCCGACAUCAACACAUCAUGCGGGACUCGGUGGGUGACUGAGUAUGUAGAAAACUUUGGUUUGCCACAACCUGUCCGCGUACCUCCGGUGAAAACUGCAAACUGGAAGGCCUCGAUCUUUUAUAGCACACAUAACCAUCAUUCUGCAGACAAGUGUCACCACACCGAAUACCAGGCCCUCAACAGUCCUGAGACAGAUCAGUGCUUACCGCCACCUCUGGUGAAAGCUACCGCAUGCCACUGUCCACAGGCAUCCAGUCUUCAGGAUGCUCCUUCUACAGCUUCCACAAAAGCUCUACCUGAAAAAAGAAUGACACUCGUAGAGCAGCUUAAAGUACAGAAGAACACUUCUGGGAAUGCUCAGGUGGAGCACCUCCACAAGCUCCGGGCUCCUACUCCACCCACUGUCCCCAGAAGAGGACGAAGGCUGCUGCCAGCCCAGCAGGAGAGUCUAGAGAGUAUAGCGGCUCAUCAGCCCGACAUCAACACAUCAUGCGGGACUCGGUGGGUGACUGAGUAUGUGGAAAACUUUGGUUUGUCGCAACCUGUCCAUUUACCUUGUGCUUCGAAAAAAUCUGCACGCCGUUUGGUCUCGACCUUUCGGAGAAUACCUAACCCUCAUUUUGCAGACAAGUAUCAACGCUCUGAAUACCAGGCCAUCUAUGGUCCUGAGAUUCGCACUGCACAAUUCAACCUUACUCGGUACCGACAGCUCCAUGGAACAGCUUAAAAAGGCAUUUUAUCAGAUACCUUAUCAGGUUGCUCCACCAUAAAACGACGUGCUGACGUGGUGCAUGGGGAUUGGAGAGAAGAAGAUUGUGCGUCUUUUAAAAAGGAGGAAGAACGUUAUGUCGGCAGGAAUACGGACAUGUGAUGUGUCUGUGAUUGCGCUGGUACGAUUGAGUAGCGAAUGUUUCCUUGGUGUUUGAGUGAAAUCGCUUGCUUGUUGCUAGUGUACGCCCUAUUUGUAAAUAGAUCUUCUAUUGUAAAUAUUUCUUCUCUAACUAUCACGAAAGCUGUAGGGGUUGGGUGCCGUUUAUUUUUUUACUUUCUUUCUUACAAUCAUUAAAUUUGUAAGAUAUCGAAGACUUGAAAGACACGUGUGUCAACCUCAUUAUUUCUCAUUAUUUUCUUAUGAUUUUU
ensembl:lncRNA